GACCGCUCGGUCUCGAGCCGCUGGGGAUUCGUCCCAGGCGAGCGCCCGCCAGAGUUAAACCAAACUCUUGUUAUUUAACCGGUCGUCUGAGUAAAAAUUUUGAAUAAAUCAAAACUUUCAACAACGGAUCUCUUGGUUCUCGCAUCGAUGAAGAACGCAGCGAAAUGCGAUAAGUAAUGUGAAUUGCAGAAUUCAGUGAAUCAUCGAAUCUUUGAACGCACAUUGCGCCCCUUGGUAUUCCGAGGGGCAUGCCUGUUCGAGCGUCAUUACACCACUCAAGCUAUGCUUGGUAUUGGGCGUCGUCCUUAGUUGGGCGCGCCUUAAAGACCUCGGCGAGGCCACUCCGGCUUUAGGCGUAGUAGAAUUUAUUCGAACGUCUGUCAAAGGAGAGGAACUCUGCCGACUGAAACCUUUAUUUUUCUAGGUUGACCUCGGAUCAGGUAGGGAUACCCGCUGAACUUAAGCAUA
rnacentral:rRNA from 1 species